rnacentral:rRNA from 1 species
UACAGAGGCCUCAAGCGUUAGGCGGAAUCACUGGGCUUAAAGCGUGUGUAGGCGGACUUCUAAGUACCUUGUGAAAUCCCACGGCUUAACUGUGGAACUGCUUGGUAUACUGGUCGCUUCUGAGCCACUUAGGGGCUACCGGAACAGAUGGGUGGAGCGGUGAAAAUGCGUAGAUAUCAUCUGGAACGCCAAUGUGAAAAACAGGUAGCUGGGAGUGUGCUGACGCUGAGACACGAAAGCCAGGG